rnacentral:ncRNA from 1 species
AAUCUCUCUGAAAAGGCUCUUGUUUCAAGUACUCUUGUUUUUUCACUGACCUGGUAAGGUGGUAGUAGUGGGGAGCCCCCAAGGUGUUCUCACUUCCGAUGCCAAGUGCCAGUCCAUGCAUGCAUGUGGGUGGGCAUGACCCUCUCUGGGGACAGUGCCAGGUGGGGAGUUUGAUUAGGGAGGUACACCUGUCACACAGUAAUGCAGGUGUCCUAAGACAAAUUCAGGGAGGACAGAAACCCCCAUGGCAAAAGAGCAAAAGCUUGAUCUUGAUUUCAGUAUGAAUACCGACCAUGAAAACAAGGUCCUUUUAGGCCAGGGUGAGUCCAGACAAAG